GAGGAGCCAGCUGAGGUGGCUCGGGCAUCUGUUAAGGAUGCCUCCCGGACGCCUCCCCAGGGAAGUAUUCAGGUCAGGUCCCACC